UUGUGUAUGUGUUUGCCUCAGAAAGUUGGCCACUCAUUAGUAAAGAGCUCUUGGAGGAAGUGGUGGUUACCGAUGACUCAGCCAAGCCAUGCAUUUCAUUCUUUCUCUCUCCAGUCUCUCUCUGCGCUCUCCUCCCUCUGUCAUCUUCUUUUCUUUCUACAUUCUAUUCAUUCCUCUUUUCUAUUCUGGCUCUUUUAACAUUUUCUGUCCAUCUCCCAUUCUCUUAAUCCCUGUUCCCCCUCCUUUUCUCUCUUCUGAUUCAUCCUUGACCUUUGGAGGUGUGUGUGUGUGUUGUGUGUGUGUCUGUGAUUCGUAGGACACUCAGCAAUGUGUGUGGGAAGAUAACUGGUUUCCUUCAGAGUGAUUAAAACAUUCCUUCUCUCUUCUUUUUCCUUUCUCCUCUCUCUUUCUCUGCCCUUCUUAGUUUGCAGUGAAGACUUUCUGAUGAAGAGGACGAAGACUGACAAACUGGUCUAAGGCGCAGGAUUGAGAAAUGUCUCACCACAGGACUAUCAGGCUUGUUUCCACCACAACUGAUGGGGUAACCACCUCAGCAAACAUCAUCGGGUAGGAGUUAACAUUUGACAUAUUGCUGAGUCAGUUUGGGGUCAUGACAUCAUCGUCAUGAGAUGGGGCGGCUGCUGAGUGGUGACCACAGGCAGCAACAGAAGACAUGGGGCUGAAUGUCCUUGUUUGCAGCUGCUGGUUCUUGGCAAAAAAAAACAUUGUGCGGUGGAGUUGCCUCAGGGAAUAAUUUGCUCAAAUGUUGAAGGCAAGAAAAAAUUCAAGAGGUUUGCAAAGGCAGUAAGUAAGAUUUUUAUUGUCGCAUUGCACCAGAUGACCAUAAAACACCUGCAGGAGGUCGAUAGCGUCUGUAAUUGUCCAGGUGCUGAGUUUAGUUGGCUUUCCAAACUCUUUCCUUUUCUUUUAGUUUCGCUUGUGGGCUGUUUUGGCUCAAAAUCCCCAGACCCAGUGAAUGCAGAUGCUGUUAAAAUCCCAGCUGGUGGUGAACACAGCAAGUAACACAUAAGUAAAUUAGU